UACAGAGGGUGCGAGCGUUAAUCGGAAUUACUGGGCGUAAAGGGCGCGUAGGCGGUUAAUUAAGUUAGAUGUGAAAUCCCUGGGCUUAACCUAGGAACUGCUUCUAAUACUGGUUGACUAGAGUGCGGCAGAGGCAAGUGGAAUUUGUAGUGUAGCAGUGAAAUGCGUAGAUAUUACAAGGAACACCAAUGGCGAAGGCAGCUUGCUGGGCUACUCCUGACACUGAGGUACGAAAGCGUGGGGAGCGAACAGG
rnacentral:rRNA from 1 species